AGUGAGAAUGCCGGUAUGAGUAGCGCAAGAUGGGUGAGAAUCCCAUCCACCGUAAGACUAAGGUUUCCAGGGGAAGGCUCGUCCGCCCUGGGUUAGUCGGGACCUAAGGAGAGACCGAAAGGUGUAUCCGAUGGACAACAGGUUGAUAUUCCUGUACUAGUGUAUAUAGUGAUGGAGGGACGCAGUAGGCUAACUAAAGCGGGCGAAUGGAAGAGCCCGUCUAAGCAGUGAGGUGUGAUAUGAGUCAAAUGCUUGUAUCUGUAACAUUGAGCUGUGAUGGGGAGCGAAAUUAAGUAGCGAAGUUAGUGACGUCACACUGCCAAGAAAAGCUUCUAGCGAUAAGUAUACACUACCCGUACCGCAAACCGACACAGGUAGUCGAGGCGAGUAGCCUCAGGUGAGCGAGAGAACUCUCGUUAAGGAACUCGGCAAAAUGACCCCGUAACUUCGGGAGAAGGGGUGCUGACUUUUAGUCAGCCGCAGUGAAUAGGCCCAAGCAACUGUUUAUCAAAAACACAGCUCUCUGCUAAAUCGUAAGAUGAUGUAUAGGGGGUGACGCCUGCCCGGUGCUGGAAGGUUAAGAGGAGGGUUUAGCGUAAGCGAAGAUCUGAAUUGAAGCCCCAGUAAACGGCGGCCGUAACUAUAACGGUCCUAAGGUAGCGAAAUUCCUUGUCGGGUAAGUUCCGACCCGCACGAAAGGCGUAAUGAUUUGGGCACUGUCUCAACGAGAGACUCGGUGAGAUUUUAGUACCUGUGAAGAUGCAGGUUACCCGCGACAGGACGGAAAGACCCCAUGGAGCUUUACUGCAGUUUGAUAUUGAGUAUCUGUACCACAUGUACAGGAUAGGUAGGAGCCUAUGAAAUCGGGACGCCAGUUUCGAUUGAGGCGCUGUUGGGAUACUACCCUUGUGUUAUGGCUACUCUAACCCGGUAGGUUAAUCAUCUACGGAGACAGUGUCUGACGGGCAGUUUGACUGGGGCGGUCGCCUCCUAAAAGGUAACGGAGGCGCCCAAGGGUUCCCUCAGAAUGGUUGGAAAUCAUUCGCAGAGUGUAAAGGUAUAAGGGAGCUUGACUGCGAGAGCUACAACUCGAGCAGGGACGAAAGUCGGGCUUAGUGAUCCGGUGGUUCCGUAUGGAAGGGCCAUCGCUCAACGGAUAAAAGCUACCCUGGGGAUAACAGGCUUAUCUCCCCCAAGAGUUCACAUCGACGGGGAGGUUUGGCACCUCGAUGUCGGCUCGUCGCACCCUGGGGCUGUAGUCGGUCCCGAGGGUUGGGCUGUUCGCCCAUUAAAGCGGCACGCGAGCUGGGUUCAGAACGUCGUGAGACAGUUCGGCCCCUAUCCGUCGCGGGCGUAGGAAAUUUGAGAGGAUCUGCUCCUAGUACGAGAGGACCAGAGUGGACUUACCGCUGGUGUACCAGUUGUCUCGCCAGAGGCAUCGCUGGGUAGCUAUGUAGGGAAGGGAUAAACGCUGAAAGCAUCUAAGUGUGAAGCCCACCUCAAGAUGAGAUUUCCCAUAACAUUAAGUUAGUAAGAGCCCUGAGAGAAGAUCAGGUAGAUAGGUUGGAAGUGUAAGUGUGGCGACACAUGUAGCGGACCAAUACUAAUCGCUCGAGGACUUAUCC
rnacentral:rRNA from 1 species